CCUACGGGAGGCAGCAGUGGGGAAUCUUGCGCAAUGGGCGGAAGCCUGACGCAGCAACGCCGCGUGUGGGAAGACGGCUUUCGGGUUGUAAACCACUUUCAGGGGGGACGAAGCUUCCGAGGUUAAUAGCCUACGGGGUGACGGUACCCCCAGAAGAAGCCCCGGCUAACUACGUGCCAGCAGCCGCGGUAAUACGUAGGGGGCGAGCGUUGUCCGGAAUCAUUGGGCGUAAAGCGCGUGUAGGCGGCUUGAUAAGUCUGGUGUGAAAUCUUGGGGCUUAACCCCAAGCCUGCACUGGAUACUGUCAAGCUUGAGUCCGGGAGGGGAGAGCGGAAUUCCUAGUGUAGCGGUGAAAUGCGCAGAUAUUAGGAAGAACACCGGUGGCGAAGGCGGCUCUCUGGAACGGUACUGACGCUGAGACGCGAAAGCGUGGGGAGCGAACAGGAUUAGAUACCCUGGUAGUCCACGCCGUAAACGAUGGGCACUAGAUGUGGGCGGUGUCGACUCCGUCCGUGUCGAAGCUAACGCAUUAAGUGCCCCGCCUGGGGAGGUACGGCCGCGAGACGUAACUACAAGAAGUAGACGGCGNGAGACGNGCCGACGGACGACGACGAGGGAGGUAGG
rnacentral:rRNA from 1 species